AAACUUAGUGAAUGGAAAAGUAUCGUUUUGCUAAACCUUGGAUGGAGAAAAGUCCCCCCUUUUUAAACUAAUAGAAGAUAAUUGAUUUUUUAUAAGAUAAUAAAAACCUGGUAGCUGCAUUUCAGCUUCCAAUUCCUUAAAUUUAAAAACUGGAACCGUAAGGUUCAGGUUUCUUUUUUUUGAACUUGCAUUAUACGGUUCGAUUCCCCAUAAAAAAUCGUACUCGUAACCGCCCACUCUAAUUAGGAAUUAGGUUUUGGGAAUUGGGGCGAUCAGUUGAAUCUUCCUUCUUCAAAUUAGCUGCUGCCAAUCUCCUGUGUUCCACUUUCCCGUUGAUUUCGCUCUCAAAUCCUUCUUCUUCUUCUUCAUUACCCGUCUCUCCUCUUUCCGUUUCUCCUUCUUCUUACUUAUCCAUCCCAUCUUCUGGUUUGAGCCCAACUGACCUCUUCGACUCUCCUGUACUUUUCUCUAAUAUUCUUGCUUCACCAACAACUGAAGCUUUUGGUGGUCAAACCUUCAACUGGAACAAGGGAGAAGAGAAUAAUAACAUCUUUGAUUUCUCUUUUCAAACCCAAACAAUGGUCUUCUUCUACUGCAUCUUCAUCCAUCUUUUAAUCUUCUUCAAACAUUGGUUCACUGAUUGGGCAUUGUAAUUUGAUCCUAAUAACUAAUUACAUUGCUAUGAACAAAUGGAGGUGUAAUUCAGUCCACCGUUGCAGGAUUGAUUAUUACUUUCGGUUCGACGUUUUGCCGUACUUGGAUUCUAUCGAAGGCCCUGUUGGUCUACUAUGCUCGUAGUAUCCCCUGUACUUACCGUUUCAAGUAGUGUUGGGUCAAACGAGAUGAGUGAGGUCAUUCAUUGGGAUCCUCUAAUCAGCCAUGAUUUUCUACUUCUGUUGGCUGAGCGUGCAAAACGAGCACAUGGUUCUUCAAUUAAAUCUUCAGAUUACAAGAUUAUUAGUGAUAAAUUAUGGGAAAAAUUUGGGAAGAAAAUUAAAGUCAAAUAGUUAUCUUCUAAGUAUUUUCACUUGAAAUCAGCGUAUAACUCUUGGCAUGCUCUACUUCAACAUACGGGGUUCGGUUGGGAAUAUGAGUCUCAAACUCCAACAUGUCCUAAAGAGAUUUGGCAAGAAUAUUUAAAGCAAAACCUAGGGGCAAAGGACUUCGUACAUAAGGGACUUUUUGAUAAAGAGUUAUAUUCCACAAGCAAAAUGUAACUAGAAGAUUUGCUUACACAUCUGUAUCUCAACCAGUGGACUUUAUCAUUUUUUUGCCCGACACUGUAGAGGUGGACAUUGAUGAAGAUGUGUUGGAACCUGAUCUUGAUAGACCAACUGGUGAAAAAAGAUCAAACAUGUCUGGGUUUGGAAGUUCCAUAGAUACGAAGAAGAAAAGCGUUCGGAGAAACCCGCUUUUGGGUGUGAUUGGUAAAUUGUUGGACUCUAUUACUGAGAUUACUAUUGGCAUCUAAGGCAGCAUAUCACAGUGAAGAUGGUGGGGCCCAAGAGAACACAAGCGAAAGAACAGAUCAAAAUUCCAUUCCAAAAUGUAUCGACCUUUUGACAAAUAUGCAACUGGAUUCAAAGAUAUUCAUGGCAGUUGUGGAAGUCUUAGUUGACAAGCCAGAGUGGCGUGAGAUAUUUGUACACUUGCCACUCGAGCAAAGGGCAUAUUGGGAUAAUAAUGACUUUUGCAAUUUGUAGAGGAGAGUGUUUGUCUUACCUGUUGAACCAAUGUUUUCUACUUGUUAGUUGAUACUUACCUCUUUGA